AGUCAACCGACUCAUCAGGCGUUAUUAGAUGCCAAGAAAAAGAGUCACAUGCUUGCUAUUACCUCAUGGGAUGUAAAUGGUGUCUCCCUUCUUAUGGAUGUGUUUAAUUUAAUUUUGACCUUUUACAUUUUUACUUUAAAAACAUUUAGAAGGAAUAAAUGUUCAUUAUUAGGGUAAUUUCUUAUGACACUAAAGACACAUAUACUCGUUAUUAGCUUAAU
rnacentral:misc_RNA from 1 species